rnacentral:rRNA from 1 species
UCAAAUAAUAAAAGUAUCGGUAGGGGAGCAUUCCAUCGGCGUAGAAUGCAGUAGGUGACUACUGCUGGAGCCUAUGGAAAAGCAAAUGUAGGUAUAAGUAACGAUUAGGAGGGCGAGAACCCCUCCCGCCGAACGACUAAGGUUUCCCAGGCAAUGCCAUUCAUCCUGGGGUCAGUCGGGUCCUAAGGCUAAGCCGAGCGGCGAGGCCGAUGGCAGACACGGUCAACAUUCCGUGACUACCGCCAUCAGUGAUGUCCAGACGGAGCAGUGACACCUCCGCGCCCUGACGGAAUAGGGCGUUGAAGGGCGUAGGCUAUGAUGAUGCCAGGCAAAUCCGGCAUCAGAGCUGAAACCUGAAAGUACGGGGUCCCCUUCGGGGGAACCUGAGAGCGAGGGUAAUCAUACUCCCGAGAAAAUGGGCUAAACUCAUGUUGGCGGUACCCGUACCGCAAACCGACACAGGUAGUUGGGUAGAACAUACUAAGGCGUUGAGAGAUUCAUGGCUAAGGAACUAGGCAAACUGACCCCGUAACUUCGGGAUAAGGGGUCCUCACCUCCGGGUGAGGCGCAGAGAAUAGGUCCAGGCAACUGUUUAACAAAAACACAGGGCUGUGCGAACUCGAAAGAUGAAGUAUACAGCCUGACACCUGCCCGGUGCCGGAAGGUUAAGAGGAGAUGUCACCGCAAGGGAAGCAUUGAAUUGAAGCCCCGGUAAACGGCGGCCGUAACGAUAACGGUCCUAAGGUAGCGAAAUUCCUUGUCGGGUAAGUUCCGACCUGCACGAAUGGUGUAAUGAUCCGGACGCUGUCUCGGCCAUGAGCUCAGUGAAAUUGUAGUAUCGGUGAAGAUGCCGAUUACCCGCGAUGGGACGAAAAGGCCCCGUGAACCUUUACUACAGCUUAGCAUUGACCUUGGUCAUCCGAUGUGUAGGAUAGGCCGGAGGCUUCGAAGCGGCGUCGCCAGGCGUUGUGGAGCCAUCCUUGAAAUACGGCCCUUUGGCUGUCUGAGGUCUAACGCGGAUAGUCGCGGACACUGCUUGGUGGGUAGUUUGACUGGGGUGGUCGCCUCCAAAAGCGUAACGGAGGCUUCCAAAGGUGCCCUCGGGCCGUUUGGUAAGCGGCCUUCAAGAGUGCAAUUGCAAAAGGGCGCUUGACUGGGAGGGAGACAUCCCGAGCAGGCAGGAAACUGGGGCAUAGUGAUCCGGCGGAUGUGUAUGGAAACUCCGUCGCUCAAAGGAUAAAAGGUACUCCGGGGAUAACAGGCUGAUCCCCCCCAAGAGCUCAUAUCGACGGGGUGGUUUGGCACCUCGAUGUCGGCUCGUCACAUCCUGGGGCUGGAGAAGGUCCCAAGGGUUGGGCUGUUCGCCCAUUAAAGUGGCACGCGAGCUGGGUUCAGAACGUCGUGAGACAGUUCGGUCUCUAUCUAUCGUGGGCGCAGGAGUUUUGAGUGGUGCUGUCACUAGUACGAGAGGACCGUGACGGACAGACCUCCGGUGUACCGGUUGUGCCGCCAGGCGCACCGCCGGGUAUCCGCGUCUGGAUCGGAUAAGCGCUGAAAGCAUCUAAGUGCGAAGCUUUCCACGAGAUUAGAACUCCAUUGAGGGUCGUCGCAGACGACGACGUUGAUAGGGCGCAGGUGUAAAGACGGCGACGUCAAAGCCGAGCGCUACUAAUUGCCC